CUUGUCUACCAUAGAGAGAGAAACAGCAUCUCAAUUGAAGCAAAAGUCACAAAACUUCCUCUCUUCAAAAUCCAACAUCCACUUUGGCAGGCUUGAAUGAAGCAAAAGUCCCCAAACUUCCUCUACUCCAUAUCUAACAUGCACUUCGGCACUUUCUACAGUAAGUUGGUGAUAUCUCCAUCUCAAUCUGCAAAAGAGACAAACCCACUAUAAAGGGGAAUAAAAUUUGUUAGAUUUGUUGAAGUUAGUGAUUCGAUUUCUGUCAUAUGAGAACUUGUAAUUUUGUCUCCAUUUCAGUCAUAUUUUCUUUUAGUACAUUGAACCCCAAUGUUUAUAAAUUUUAUAUUGUUUCUAUUUUCUUUGUAACCAAUGGAAAAAUAUAAUUCUUCAACAUCUAAAUCCAAAGCUAGUCAUCUAAAAAGACAUUCUAGAGAUGUUGGAUGGGGAACUAUGAUUUUGGAAGAUCCUAGAAAUCUUAAUAAUGUGAAAUGCAUGUUAAGCAGUAAGGUUACUAAGGGAGGAAAAAUUUAUG
rnacentral:lncRNA from 1 species